CCAUCCCUCAUUCUCUGUUAUGUAUUACUCCUCACCUCGGACUUCUCACUUUACCAUUGCUGGCUAUGCAUCCACCACACCAUCUCCUCUCUACGUCUGGUGAGUGACUCCCAUCUACAGGUCCUCUGUUUGUCUGACCACACCAGAUGGACCCCUUAUGCCUUUUUGGCCAGUCUGUUCUCAUUUCAGGGAUGCCUGAGUCAAGAAUUUGACUCUAUGUCCUUGUGGGUCCCCUGUCUAUGUCCUGUGGACCCCCAUCUACAUCUGUAUGGACUCCUGCGUCCUUACCAGACUAUUCCAUAAAGUCAAAAGGCCUCCUAGGCUAGAAAAUCAGUCUCAAUGGCCCAACUGUUUGGCUUGUGCUCUUGAGA